ensembl:lncRNA
UUUUGGAGCUGGAAAAUUAAAAACAGGGGAAGCUAAGGUAAAAUACAAAGAUAUCCUGACAGGAGAAUGGCUUGGUCCUGUCCCUCUAAUUGUUUGGGGGAGAGGACAUGCUUGUGUCUCCACAGGAGCAGGUCCAAGAUGGAUACCGUCCAGAUUAGUGAGGAUCCACCAAGAAGUUUCCCUCCCAGCUCAACCAGCAGCAGAUCCAGCACCAACGGAUUCAGCACCAGCUACAGGAAGCGAUCCCUCAUCAGCAGCAUCUUCGGGAUAAUCCUGUUUUUUGCGUGCAGCAUAACACCAGCAAAUCAGAAAGCCUUAAUGUCAGGAGCCCUUGCCACACCUCCUCCAACAAUUCCUAAUUGGGUAAUGCUCUCUGGCCAAAAUGUUUGGCUAAACCUGGCACAAUCACUAAAUACUGACUCUAUCUGUCUCUCUACCUUAGAUCCCUCUCACCCUUUUAAGACCUGUCUGGUAGGAAUCCCCUGGACACCCAGCGAAUGGGGUAAUUUUAGAAAUCAGUAUAUCCCCUGGUGUGAUGACCACGAUCAGUUCAAGAAUCCAUUCUUGGACUGUCUCACAAGACCAGCAAAAACUUCACAUGACAGGCAGACAUUUAGCUAUCAGUGGCAGAGACCUGAGGAAUUAGAAAUCUUGGGGAGUAUUGUUUCUCCUCUCUGUUUUUACUUCAUUCACAACAAAUAUGUUGCCCCUCCUGAAUUAAUUAAUGUCACCUCUUAUGGACCUUAUUCCAAUUUCAGUUUCUGGUGCAAGGAAGAGGUUCCUUACCAGAUACAUGCCACCCCUGAUUCGGUUAUUCUUCCAAAAGGAGUCUUUUUAAUUUGUGGACUUAGAGUCUGGAAUAUGAUUCCCAGAUUAGCUGCUGGAGGCCCCUGCACAUUUGGAAAAUUAACACUGUACAAUCCAGCUACCCUUAUGAAAUCUUUACCUGUAAGGCCUCCCAAAAAUCAUGCAAAAAGAAACAGUGACCUCCAAAGCACCUCACCCUUCUCACAUCAUAGAGUGCGCAGGCAAUUCCAAGGUUUGCACCCACAUCUUAAUUUCUAUCCACCACAACAAAAAUCCCUUUCUCCACCUAAAGCAGUGCAGGUCCCUGUAGCUGCAGCACCCCCACAUCCAGCUGAAGAACAUCCUUUAGCAAAAUUACAGUCCCUGAGUGAAUUCACAGCAGAAUGCAACUCCAACAUGCAUUUUUGGUCAGACACUGCAAACAUUAUCAGUGGUAUACUUCCAAUUGUCAGCUCCACAAAAGCCUUAACUCUCCUUACCAGAAUGGGAUGUUGGCUAGCAAAAGAAGCUAAUGCUACAAGUGCUGCCCUUGAUGAUCUCUUACAAGAUACCCAAACCAAUAAGAAAGCUUUGUUACAAAAUCGUGCUGCAAUAGAUUUUCUCCUUCUAGUAAAUGGCCAUGGGUGUCAAGAGUUUGAAGGCCUCGGCUGCCUCAACUUCUCUGAUCACUCCUAAUCUAUCCACUCUCAGAUUAAUCAGCUUAAGUCCUUAGUUCAUGAAAUCAAGCGAGCUGAUCCUCUGACCUUUGAUGAUUUUUUCAGCUGGUUGCCCUUCAAAGGCCUCUCUUCCACUAUUAAGAAAAUUAUUGUAGUUAUCGUACUAGUACUUUCCGUAGUGUUUCUCUUUAUGUGUGUCUUUCCAUGUUUCCUUAGUUGUGCCAGAACUUCUCAAUCAUUAAAAGCAUAUCCAGCUUUAAAAGACAAAAAAGGAGGAGAUGUAGCAAGGAACUUGCCAUACACAGUAUGGAAAAAGUCCUGUCAGAUGGACUGGUGAGGAAAACAGCUCAAACCCUAUGGAAACAGAAGCUUUUACUGUAGUUUGAACAUGUCUCAACAUGUUUGUGUAUUUUCUGCAGUGUCACUGUCUCCCUCUUCCCAACACCCCCCUGUGAAGCUAUUGUCUUCCACACAAGGUGUCCCAUUGGUUCCCUGUUAACCCCUUCCUAUUGGCUGUUGACCCCUUACCUGAUGGUUUCUUUUGUGUGACCCUGAACUUGUGAUUGGUCCCCUUUGACCCUCCUAAAAGCCUUAUAAACCCCAACCCCACAAUAAACUCUCUCUUUCGUCCGUCCCUCCCA